rnacentral:misc_RNA from 1 species
CCAAUAGCGUAUAUUAAAGUUGUUGCAGUUAAAAAGCUCGUAGUUGAAUUUCGGGAUUGACACAUCGGUCGUGCCUUAAGGGGUAUGAACUGGUGUAGUCAAUUUCUCACCUUCUGGAGAACCGCGAUGUCCUUAAUUGGGUGCCGCGAGGAACCAGGACCUUUACUUUGAAAAAAUUAGAGUGUUUAAAGCAGGCAUUUUUGCUUGAAUACAUUAGAUUGGAAUAAUAAAAUAGGACGGCAUGAUUCUAUUUUGUUGGUUUCUAGGAUCACCGUAAUGAUUAAUAGGGAUAGUUGGGGGCAUUAGUAUUCAAUUGUCAGAGGUGAAAUUCUUGGAUUUAUUGAAGACUAACUACUGCGAAAGCAUUUGCCAAGGAUGUUUUCAUUAAUCAAGAACGAAAGUUAGGGGAUCGAAGACGAUCAGAUACCGUCGUAGUCUUAACCAUAAACUAUGCCGACUAGGAAUCAGACGAUGUUAAUUUUUUAAUGACUCGUUUGGCACCUUACG